rnacentral:tRNA from 1 species
GGCAUAAUGGACAAAGCGUUUGGCUUCUGAUCAGAAGAUUGCAGGUUUGAGUCCUGC